rnacentral:rRNA from 1 species
GGAACCGGGAGAGGUAAGAGGUACUACAGGGGUAGGAGUCGAAAGUACGUUGUAAUCCCUGUGGGACCACCUGUGGCGAAGGCGUCUACCAGAACGGGUUCGACGGUGAGGGACGAAAGCUGGGGGCACGAACCGGAUUAGAUACCCGGGUAGUCCCAGCCGUAAACGAUGCUCGCUAGGUGUCAGGCAUGGCGCGACCGUGUCUGGUGCCGCAGGGAAGCCGUGAAGCGAGCCACCUGGGAAGUACGGCCGCAAGGCUGAAACUUAAAGGAAUUGGCGGGGGAGCACAACAACGGGUGGAGCCCUGCGGUUUAAUUGGACUCAACGCCGGACAACUCACCGGGGGCGACAGCAAUAUGUAGGCCAAGCUGAAGACUUUGCCUGAAUCGCUGAGGAGAGGUGGUGCAUGG